GCGCUUGCUUCAGCAGCACAUAGACUAAAAUUGGAACACACAGAGAAGAUUAGCAUGGCCCCUGUCCAAAGAUCACACAUAAAUUCACUAAGCCUUCCAUAUUUUU